AUUUCCUUUAAGUUGGUCCUGUGAGGCCGGCAAGGAUUUUGGCUACUCAAAAAAAUAUAACUUUGGUUGGCCAUGUCAACUCCUUGCUCGUUCGGCAGGGAGUUUUAUUGU
rfam:Thermosinus carboxydivorans Nor1 ctg52, whole genome shotgun sequence.